UACCCAGAGAAGCUGUGGAUGCUCCAUCCGCAGAGGCGUUCAAGGCCAGGUUGGAUGUAGCUUUGAGCAACAUGAUCUAGUGGAAAGUGUCCCUGCCCAUGGCAGCGGAGGUGGAACUAAAUGAUCUUUAAGGUCCCUUUCAUUCUGUGAUUCUAUGAGACAUAACACAUUGUAACUUACUUCUGACUUUAUAACCACAUCCAUUCCCUUCUCUUUAUACUUUACCCACUACUGAACAUUUCCAGCAGUCUUUAAUGUUACACAUAUACUUAUAUCCUGCAUUUUGCUAGUAAGCUUUACAAUUGUGUCUUGAGUCAUCAGUUGUACACAGUAUACAAUGGCUUUGUGUGACUGCAUUGAGCCUUAAUUAAAAAAAAAACCUAACAAGCAAUAGGCAUAGAUUUUUCUUCGAGUAUUUAAAGAAAUUUCAGAGCUUAUAGCAAGAGAUCUAACAAGGGAUUGUCUUAAAGAAAACACCUCCAUAACCAAACCUUAUCUAAAUGAAAGACUAAAUAUUAACUUGACAUUAAUACCUUCUUAUCAGUAGUGCAUUUGCAUAGAGAUUCUUCAUAAAAACCUGCAAAUUCACAAUUAUACCUUGCAAACAGAAGUACUACAGCUGUUCAAGCUAACAAAACUUUAAAAAUAUUCAUUUAGUUCAUGGAAAUGGUAUCUUCAAGUCACCUCCAUCAGAAGAUAAUGACAUGAAACACGGAUAAAACUGUUUCAUAGUUAGAUUAACACUGAAAAUUCAAACAGACAAACACAAUGCAAGUAUUUUAACAGAAACAAUAUAAAAUUUCACUGGCUUAAAAAAGAUCCAAAGGAGAAAUCUUGGCUAUUUCAAUGUAUUGCUCUACCUUACAUUUAAAAUGGUACAUUUACAGAACUCUUCAGAUGAAUUAGGCUUCUUCUAUAAAACUAAAUACUGGAAUUCCAAUAAUUUGUGCAAGUAUUAAAAUAUUAACAUUUUAAAUGUUAACAUUACAAUUUUAAAUAGCCUUGCAAGUGCAAUGUUACAAAUAUUUUUUAAAAAAAAUCAGAGCUACAAUUUUAUAUAAGUUAUAUGAGUAAAUGAAAGUGCUUUUCAAGUAUUCAUGUUCAUUUGCAGUUGGGUUCUCCUGUUAAGUCAGUGCUCAGUGGUACAAUUUAAGUAUCAAUCUUGUUUCAAUUUUUGAUGCAUGGAUUUAACUGGAUGGAAUAAAUGAAAUUUGAAGGAGUGUUUGCGCUCAGUGUU
ensembl:lncRNA